rnacentral:rRNA from 1 species
GCAAACGUUGUUCGGAAUUACUGGGCGUAAAGCGCGUGUAGGCGGCUCGGCAAGUCGGAUGUGAAAGCCCUGGGCUUAACCUAGGACGUGCAUUCGAAACUGCUGAGCUUGAGUACUUAAGAGGAUCGCGGAAUUCCCGGUGUAGAGGUGAAAUUCGUAGAUAUCGGGAGGAACACCAGUGGCGAAGGCGGCGAUCUGGGAAGAUACUGACGCUGAGGUGCGAAAGCGUGGGGAGCAAACAGG